UCGGAAGGAUCAUUACCCAAAAGGAUACCCUCGUGGUAUACCCCAUCCGUGUCUAUAUACUCUUGUUGCUUUGGCAGGCCGUGGUCUCGACCCUGUGGGCUUUGCCUGCAUGUGCCUGCCAGAGGACCAAACUCUGAAUUUUAGUGAUGUCUGAGUACUAUAUAAUAGUUAAAACUUUCAACAACGGAUCUCUUGGUUCUGGCAUCGAUGAAGAACGCAGCGAAAUGCGAUAAGUAAUGUGAAUUGCAGAAUUCAGUGAAUCAUCGAAUCUUUGAACGCACAUUGCGCCCGGUGGUAUUCCGCCGGGCAUGCCUGUUCGAGCGUCUCUAUCAACCUACACGCUCCGCGUGGAAUUGGGGCCUGCGGUCACCUGCAGCCCUAGAACCCAACAGCGAUACCGAGUGGUCCUCAGCGUAGUACAUACCCCGCUACAGGCCUCCUCUGGUGUUCUGCCAUAAAUGGUGCAAGCCGUUAACAAGGUUGACCUCGGAUCAAGUAAGGAUACCCGCUGAACUUAAGCAUAUC
rnacentral:rRNA from 1 species